rnacentral:rRNA from 1 species
GCAUAUCAAUAAGCGGAGGAAAAGAAACCAACAGGGAUUGCCCUAGUAACGGCGAGUGAAGCGGCAACAGCUCAAAUUUGAAAUCUGGCCCUCGGGUCCGAGUUGUAAUUUGUAGAGGAUGCUUUUGGUGCGGUGCCUUCCGAGUUCCCUGGAACGGGACGCCAUAGAGGGUGAGAGCCCCGUCUGGUUGGACACCAAGCCUCUGUAAAGCUCCUUCGACGAGUCGAGUAGUUUGGGAAUGCUGCUCUAAAUGGGAGGUAUAUGUCUUCUAAAGCUAAAUACCGGCCAGAGACCGAUAGCGCACAAGUAGAGUGAUCGAAAGAUGAAAAGCACUUUGAAAAGAGGGUUAAAUAGUACGUGAAAUUGUUGAAAGGGAAGCGCUUAUGACCAGACUUGAGCCCGGUUAAUCAUCCAGCCUUCUGGCUGGUGCACUUGGCCGGCUCAGGCCAGCAUCAGUUCGGCGCGGGGGAUAAAGGCUUCGGGAAUGUGGCUCCUCCGGGAGUGUUAUAGCCCGUUGUGUAAUACCCUGUACUGGACUGAGGUUCGCGCAUCUGCAAGGAUGCUGGCGUAAUGGUCAUCAGCGACCCGUCUUGAAACACGGACCAAGGAGUCGUCUUCGUAUGCGAGUGUUCGGGUGUCAAACCCCUACGCGUAAUGAAAGUGAACGCAGGUGAGAGCUUCGGCGCAUCAUCGACCGAUCCUGAUGUUCUCGGAUGGAUUUGAGUAAGAGCAUACGGAGCCGGACCCGAAAGAAGGUGAACUAUGCCUGUAUAGGGUGAAGCCAGAGGAAACUCUGGUGGAGGCUCGCAGCGGUUCUGACGUGCAAAUCGAUCGUCAAAUAUGGGCAUGGGGGGCGAAAGACUAAUCGAACCUUCUAGUAGCUGGUUUCCGCCGAAG